UGAGCCGGAGCGGGAGAGUCCUCGUGUUCGCAGCGAGGCGCCGAAGGAGCAAGCUCCCCGCCAAACUCUCAGGUACCCAUACCGCUUCAGGCCA
rnacentral:ncRNA from 2 species